rnacentral:lncRNA from 1 species
UUUCGUCCAACUCCGCCGCCUCCGGUCUGGUGGAGUAAAAGCUCUGGUGGUGGUGCUCUUGAAAUUAGCAUGAACAUGAUGUGUAGAGGAGAUGAUUCUUGAUGCUUAUUUUUUACCCUUCCCUUGGCAUUUUCGGUUGGGCUUUGAGUCAUUAAGCCACUGUUUUGCUUAGGCUACACCUUUGUUGAAUUCAACAACAACA